AUUGAACGCUGGCGGCAGGCCUAACACAUGCAAGUCGAACGAGUGGCGGACGGGUGAGUAAUGUCUGGGAAACUUCCUGAUGGAGGGGGAUAACUACUGGAAACGGUAGCUAAUACCGCAUACCAUCAGAUUUCCCCAGAUGGGAUUAGCUUGGUGGUGGGGUAACGGCUCACCAAGGCGACGAUCCCUAGCUGGUCUGAGAGGAUGUCCGGCAAAACUGGAACUGGGACACGGUCCAGACUCCUAGGGGAGGCAGCAUGGGGGAAUAUUGCACAAUGGGGGCAAGCCGGAGGCAGCCAUGCCGGGUGUAUGAAGAAGGCCUUCGGGUUGUAAAGUACGUUCAGCGGGGAGGCGUUACCCGCAGAAGAAGCACCGGCUAACUCCGUGCCAGCAGCCGCGGUAAUAC
rnacentral:rRNA from 1 species